rnacentral:rRNA from 1 species
GAUGAACGCUGGCGGCGUGCCUAAUACAUGCAAGUCGAGCGAACGGACGAGAAGCUUGCUUCUCUGAUGUUAGCGGCGGACGGGUGAGUAACACGUGUAUAACCUACCUAUAAGACUGGGAUAACUUCGGGAAACCGGAGCUAAUACCGGAUAAUAUUUUGAACCGCAUGGUUCAAAAGUGAAAGACGGUCUUGCUGUCACUUAUAGAUGGAUCCGCGCUGCAUUAGCUAGUUGGUAAGGUAACGGCUUACCAAGGCAACGAUGCAUAGCCGACCUGAGAGGGGGAUCGGCCACACGGGAAGUGAGACACGGUCCAGACUACUACGGGAGGCAGCAGUAGGGAAUGGUACGCAAUGGGCGAAAGCCUGACGGAGCAACGCCGCGUGAGUGAUGAAGGUCUUCGGAUCGUAAAACUCUGUUAUUAGGGAAGAACAUAUGUGUAAGUAACUGUGGACAUCUUGACGGUACCUAAUCAGAAAGCCACGGCUAACUACGUG